rnacentral:rRNA from 1 species
GACGAACGCUGGCGGCGUGCUUAACACAUGCAAGUCGAACGGAAAGACCCUGCUUUUGUGGGGUGCUCGAGUGGCGAACGGGUGAGUAACACGUGAGUAACCUGUCCCUGACUUUGGGAGAACUCCAGGAAACUGGGGCUAAUAUCGGAUAGGAGCUCCUGCUGCAUGGUGGGGGUUGGAAAGUUUCGGCGGUUGGGGAUGGACUCGCGGCUUAUCAGCUUGUUGGUGGGGUAGUGGCUGACCAAGGCUUUGACGGGUAGCCGGCCUGAGAGGGUGAACGGCGACAUUGGGACUGAGAUACGGCCCAGACUCCUACGGGAGGCAGCAGUGGAGAAUAUUGCACAGUGGGCGGGAGCCUGAUGCAGCAGCGCCGCGUGCGGGAUGACGGCCUUCGGGUUGUAAACCGCUUUCGCCUGUGACGAAGAGUGAGUGACGGUACUGGGUAAAGAAGCACCGGCUAACUACGUG